rnacentral:rRNA from 1 species
CCUACGGGUGGCAGCAGUGAGGAAUAUUGGUCAAUGGACGGAAGUCUGAACCAGCCAUGCCGCGUGCAGGAAGACGGCUCUAUGAGUUGUAAACUGCUUUUGUACAAGGGUAAACCUUAAUACGUGUAUUCAUCUGAAAGUACUGUCCGAAUAAGGAUCGGCUAACUCCGUGCCAGCAGCCGCGGUAAUACGGAGGAUCCAAGCGUUAUCCGAAUUUAUUGGGUUUAAAGGGUGCGUAGGCGGAUUGAUAAGUUAGAGGUGAAAUUUCCGAGCUUAACUCGGGAACUGCCUCUAAUACUGUUGAUCUAGAGAGUAGAUGCGGUAGGCGGAAUGUAUGGUGUAGCGGUGAAAUGCUUAGAGAUCAUACAGAACACCGAUUGCGAAGGCAGCUUACCAAUCUAUAUCUGACGUUGAGGCACGAAAGCGUGGGGAGCAAACAGGAUUAGAUACCCCUGGUAGUC